rnacentral:lncRNA from 1 species
AUUUGGAAAGCUGAUGUUGCGUGUGAAGAUUGCAGACAAGCUUUAUCCAAGGAAAUCUGGCUCUCGAAGUUCGGAGAGUGGUGCCUAUUCGGUUUUCGAACAAGCAAUCCUGUCGGGGAUCUGGCUCUCGAGAUUCAAAGAACGGUGCCUCUUCAAUUUUUGAGAAAGCAAUCCUGUUGGGAGUUUGACUCUUGAGAUUCAGAGAGCAGUGUCUCUUCGAUUUUUGAGAAAGUAAUCCUGUUGGGAGUUUGGCUCUCGAGAUUCGGAGAGUGGUACCUCUUCGAUCUUUUAGCGCAAUCUUGUUGGGAGUGUUUUCUUGAAUGUGAGUAAAGGUUGGGCAUUUUUGUCAGUCUGCCUUGCCACGGAGCACAGAGGUUGACACACAUUGGGACUUUCUAGUUAUCAAGUAGUAGUGCUAUUCCUUUACCCUUGUGGGUAAUAGUAGGGUAGCUGGACCUUCAAAAUUUAUGUGUCUAAACUUUGUCAGAGAUCUUUGGCAAAGUUAUCUGUGGUACCUGAGGAGUUGAUGUUGCAUGUGGAAAGUGGUGCCUCUUCGAAAUCUGGAGAGUGGUGCCUCUUCGAUUUUUGAACCAAUGGCCCUGUUGCCCUUUCUUUUAUAAGGGCACCAAUUGUGUGCAAGAAGUACAUUCAGAAAGUUAUUGCUUGUAGGAAUUUUCCCCUUACUUUAGAGAUUUAUUGCACCUUAUUUCUCCUUCAUCAUUU